AGUUGCCUGACAACCUGACCAUGGAAGAUUUGGAGCUGCAGAAGGAGUUUGUGUCCUUUGGAACUCCUGGCAAAUAACUGGGAUUCUCUGAGGAAACAUGAUGGGUCAGGAGGAGGAGGGGAGGCGAGGACAGCCAUCUCCAAAAUGCAGUAGAUGUGCCUUUCCGGCUCUACACUGGUUGCACUCAGGCAAGCUGACGGGAAUCGGUGGUGGCAGCCAUGCGAAUGAGGGCUGCUGAAGUUACAGUUGCAAUAUAAAGAUGACAAGAAGUUCAAGACAAGAUAAAGGACCCCAGUGAGAUUGGAC